rnacentral:rRNA from 1 species
GACGAACGCUGGCGGCGUGCCUAACACAUGCAAGUCGAACGGAACUGUUUUGAAAGCUUUCUUCGGAAUGAAUUUGAUUUACUUUAGUGGCGGACGGGUGAGUAACGCGUGAGUAACCUGCCUUCAAGAGGGGAAUAACAUUCUGAAAAGAAUGCUAAUACCGCAUGACAUAUCGGAACCACAUGGUUUUGAUAUCAAAGAUUUUAUCGCUUGAAGAUGGACUCGCGUCCGAUUAGUUAGUUGGUGAGGUAACGGCUCACCAAGACCGCGAUCGGUAGCCGGACUGAGAGGUUGAACGGCCACAUUGGGACUGAGACACGGCCCAGACUCCUACGGGAGGCAGCAGUGGGGGAUAUUGCGCAAUGGGGGCAACCCUGACGCAGCAACGCCGCGUGAAGGAGGAAGGUUUUCGGAUUGUAAACUUCUUUUAUUAAGGACGAAAAAUGACGGUACUUAAUGAAUAAGCUCCGGCUAACUACGUG